rnacentral:rRNA from 1 species
CUUGAGAUGGGAAUAAACCCGGGAAACUGGGUAUAAUACCCGAUAGAUCUCGACUCCUGGAAUGCAUCGAGAUCCAAAGCUCCGGCGCUCAAGGAUGGAUCUGCGGCCUAUCAGGUAGUAGUGGGUGUAGCGUACCUACUAGCCUACGACGGGUACGGGUUGUGAGAGCAAGAGCCCGGAGAUGGAUUCUGAGACACGAAUCCAGGCCCUACGGGGUGCAGCAGGCGCGAAAACUUUACAAUGCUGGAAACAGCGAUAAGGGGACCUCGAGUGCCAGGUUACAAAUCUGGCUGUCGUGAUGCCUAAAAAGCAUUGCAUAGCAAGGGCCGGGCAAGACCGGUGCCAGCCGCCGCGGUAACACCGGCGGCUCGAGUGGUAACCGUUAUUAUUGGGUCUAAAGGGUCUGUAGCCGGCCGGAUAAGUCUCUUGGGAAAUCUGGCAGCUUAACUGUCAGGCUUUCAGGAGAUACUGUCUGGCUCGAGGCCGGGAGAGGUGAGAGGUACUUCAGGGAUAGGGGUGAAAUCUUGUAAUCCUUGAAGGACCACCAGUGGCGAAGGCGUCUCACCAGAACGGACCUGACGGCAAGGGACGAAAGCUAGGGGCACGAACCGGAUUAGAUACCCGGGUAGUCCUAGCCGUAAACGAUACUCGCUAGGUGUCGGCAACGGUGCGACCGUUGUCGGUGCCGUAGGGAAGCCGUGAAGCGAGCCACCUGGGAAGUACGGCCGCAAGGCUGAAACUUAAAGGAAUUGGCGGGGGAGCACCACAACGGGUGGAGCUUGCGGUUUAAUUGGAUUCAACGCCGGAAAUCUUACCGGGACCGACAGCAAUAUGAAGGCCAGGCUGAAGACCUUGCCGGAUUAGCUGAGAGGUGGUGCAUGG